rnacentral:lncRNA from 1 species
AAUAAUUUUAAUGUAUAUUGGCAUAUUGAACAACAUAAAAACAACAGCUUUUCAGCUUUGCUAUCUAAGUACUCUGAUUCAUAUCACCGUUUUUUGCACCCUUAGGUAUAACUAACAAUCCCUUCAAAGUUAGUAUAAAUAUUUUAAGGAUGUAUCUCCUGUAGAAUAUGCAUUUUGUAGAGAAAUCAUCUUUUAUAUAGAAAAAAGAAUGUCCAUGCAAAUUUGAAAUUUGUCAAAAAAAAGAAUAUGCAUUUAUAGAAGCUGAAGGAAAGUCCCUCUUGAUAGUCACAUUUAGCGCAUUUUUAGUUAUUGAAAUUUAUGUUUAGAAUCUUAUUUGCAUAACGUGAGCAUGUGAUACCUAUGAAAAGGGAAUGCUAAUGAAUGCUGAUGGGGGCAUGACAGUGAUGAGCAAUCCUUUUCAAUAUUACUUUUAUUUCAGCUGAAGAAAAAAUUGUUCUCUUAUAAGCAACUGCACCUGUACAGGUUUUAAAUUUUACAAGGCAACCUCUGUAAUCAUCUCUAGAGAUGCGUAAGAAUCAGAAUUGCCUAUUUCUACAAGUUCAUGAAUUUAUAUACUUUGGCUGUCGACAUCAACAAUAAAAAUCUUUAACCAUUUUAACUCUAACCACUAGCCAAAAUAAGUCAGUCAGGGUCAACUAAAAGAAUCACUUUCGGCCUAUUAUUUAUUUUUGGACUGUUCUGACUGUAGUGUUGUCUGGAAGCUAUAUAUGCGUAUGAGAGAACUCUACCCUGAUAUUAGGUUCAAUAGCUUCCUGUUCAUUGCAAAAGUGUACCAACAGUUUUCAUUUCCUUCUGGCUUAAUCUUAGAACUCAAUCAUUAAGUCUUGUAACUCUAUUUCAAAUAGGUUCUUUCUGGGCCUUCAUUAUAUUUUCAGUUAAAUACUGCAAAUGCCACUUUCAUAACCUAAAAUUGAUAUAUUCAAUUAAUCUUUAUUCAAGAAAACCGGGUAUUACUAAGAGGGACUUACUACUAGAUUUCUACUGGAAAUAAGGAGGAUGUGUGUGUGUGUGUACCUAAGCUUGUGUAAAUACAUUUUUUUUUUUAAAUCAGAAAGCUAGCAGCCCAUAGGUCAUCUUUGUGCAAAUAAAAAUAGUUCCCUCUCUGGGGGCUGGGCAGCUCCAUGGCCUCUCAUCUUGUCCAGCUGGGUUACAGAGGCUACAUUUCAGUCCCUACUUGCCUUUUUGGCCUGGCGUUCUCACAGCCUCACAGGAGGCUCUAUGAAGUAUACUGCAUUAUAUUUCAAACUCCAGGAUUCUCUGUUCACUGGUAUAUAGAUACAGGUAUAAACAAUUUCAGAUAUAAAAAAAACUUACUUCCAUAUGAUUAGAUCUGAAGAAUUUCAGUAAUUCUUUAUAACCCUGAAAUUCCUUACAUAAGGAAGGGAAGAAAGUUAAGCCAUUUUACUUAUUUGUACAAUGAUUUCAGAUGUAACCAUUUAUUGCUAUCUGAAGCCUGAAACAAAUAUCUCAAUAGCUGGGAGGCUACAGAAAAGGCUUUCUGAGUAAAGACACGAGAGCUUUUCCAAAAGAAUUAAUUAAGGUCAGAAAUGAAGUGACAGAAUCUGAAACUAAUUUUCAGAAAUCUGAAAUACAUGAACAUCUUUAAAGGAAUAAAAAAAGAGAGAAAGGGAGAAAAAGUAGUUCCAAAUCAUUUGUCAAAGCAAAUAGAUUUAUGUCAUGUACUUAAGGUCUAAGUCUAUGUGACAAACAGCUGCCCUUUGAUAAACUGUUGAACUCAGAAGUCAAUGAAAAAAAUGUCACUAAGUAGUACAAGUUUGGAGAAGAAUAUAACAUUAUCUGCCCUAUAAAUUUUAUUUCGUUUCUAGAUUAAUGACAUUUUUAGCACAGAUCAAAAAUUAUAUAUCUCCUAAUAAGUAAUGACAACAAGUUUAUUUCAUUUUCUAAAAUAGAGCCAUGGAUAACCCACAGGUCAUGGGUGAAUGUGGCUCUUGAUUUGAUUGUACCAGACCUCCAGAAAAUGUUCUAAAAUUCAGUGCAUGUUCUCUUCUGCUAGUAAAAGUCUAAAAGCCAAUUUUGUGUGCAUAUGGGAGAUCCAAAGAUGAAAACAAACGUAGUCGUAGAAUUAUAGAUUAUUUCAGCCAAAAGGUCCAAAUAAAUUACCUAACCUCAACUUUUCUUUUUACAGUGAGGAAUCUGAGGCCCAGAGAGAUUAAGAAGCUUCACAAGUGACAUGACUUGUGCCAAAUCACAAGGUCAUUUAGUUGCAGAACUGGGACAGGAAUUCAUGCCCAGUUCUCUUUUCAAAACCCUGUGGAAAAAAGAAGCACAUUGAAUUUAGCCUUUGAUUCGUCAUCAGCAUUAUCAGAGAUGAGGUGCAUUUUUUUUAAGAGAAAUGUUGGAAACAACCUACUGAAGAAAGGCUAAGACUCCUACAUCAGAUUACCAAUGCACUUUGUCAUAAAUAUUUCAGAAUGCCUAUGAGAAAAAGAAUAAAGCUAAAUCAAGUCCAGAAUACAGAGACAAAUCACUGCUGCAUUGACAGAGUUCUCAACAUUCAUCAAAUUAUACAAUAGUCAGAGGAGUUUCCUGUGGAUAUAAGGUCCAUUUGAAUCCUUAAGAAAAAGAGUGGAUAUUGAAGAAAUAUGUUCUUUAUUCUGAGCAGAAAGGCCAGCAAAAAAGAUAAUGGAUUUGCCAAAAUAUAUCAGGACAAUACUAUUAGCCAUAGGUAAUUGGAUGAUAAAAAUUGCUGUUACCUUUAUGUGCUUUUGAAACUCUACAUGAUUUUCUUUGCAAAAAGGUCAUUAAUAAAAAAUUGCAUAAUUUAAUGGGUUUCAUCUCAUUUUUGUAGUUCAAAUCAAUCACCUCAAUGGCAAUCAGAUAUUAAGCACAUUGUAUUAUUUAUCUAUAGCCUUUGAGAAGAGAAAAAAAAUUUAGUUCACUUUUAAUUAAAUAUCUGUUGAUCCCCAAAUUUAAUACUAUUUCUGAUAAACUCAUGUAAAAGAAAUAAAGUGAAUAUAGAUAGCUUUAAAUGGAAUUCAUUUUUAAAAACUUGUCAGAGGACCCUGUUAACAUCUUUCCAUGUCCUAACAUGGCUAUAACUUAAAAAUAGGCCUGAGAAUAGAUCAUUAUAGGCCAUAAUCUACUAAUUAACUAAAAUUUUUUGAUUUCCCAUAUAGGCAUCUCCAAAUGUUUUCUAGAUCUUGAGUUUUAUUCUAAUAUUACCUACUCUAUCAUAAGCACACUCUAGUGUAGCUUUAACUUAACACAGAGAUAAUUUUCCAAAAAGAGUUGUGCAAUACAAGAAUACUAUCAUUCUACUUGCUUCACACUGCAAUACAUAAAUAUUAAGUCUGAAUGUCAAGACUAUCAUUCAAUCAAUGCUUUUCUACCCAUUUACUGACACCAGCAAACAUAUAUCACCAGUACCCUUGGCUACCACAUCAUUAUGUCUGUACACUGCUCAGAUCACAAUGUGAUUUAUCCAGAAAUAGUCCAUUACUUUUCCUACCAAUGGCAGAGACCGUCACUCUGUCCUACUAAGACCAUUUAAUGAAAUUGUUCUGUAAGGACCUUAUAUUAGAGCAGUUCAGGCAGAAUGUUCAUUUUCCUGUCUCUUGAGGAGUAAAAAGCAAUAGCCAUAAAUUUAUUCUCCCUGGUUUAACCUCUUUUAAUAGACAAUGACGACAAUACAAUUGUCCAUAAAAUAUUACCACAAAUUUUUAAAAUAUUUUCCCAAACCGCUUUUUUCUACAAUUCUAUUUUGCUCCUAGAAAAUCGGGGUGGGGGGAGAAUUAUUCAUUAAUGAGAGCCAA